GACGAACGUUGGCGGCGUGCUUAAUACAUGCAAGUCAACUGAAGCAGUGGUAGCAAUAUCGCUGUGGAGGUGGCGCACGGGUGAGUAACACGUAGGUAAUCUGCCUUCAGGUCUGGCAUAACUCCGGUAAACCGGGGCUAAUAGCAGAUGAUGCAGCGGCUCGACAUCGAGACAGUUGUUAAAGCUAUGUCGCCUGAAGAUUAGCCUGCGUCUGAUUAGCUAGUUGGCGGGGUAACGGCCCACCAAGGCAACGAUCAGUAGCUGGUCUGAGAGGAUGAUCAGCCACACUGGAACUGAGACACGGUCCAGACUCAUACGGGAGGCAGCAGUAAGGAAGAAGGCUCAAUGGGAGAAGUCCUGAAGCAGCAACGCCGCGUGAGGGACGAAGGGCUUUUGCUUGUAAACCUCUGUAGUGAGAGAAAAAAAUCCCAAUCUGUGGGACAUGAUGGUAUCUCAAAAGUAAGCCCCGGCUAACUACGUG
rnacentral:rRNA from 1 species